GUCAAAAUGAUUAUAAAUCAAAAUUGAAAAAAAUUUUGAAUGGCAUUGUUGAAAUUGAAACUAACGUAUUUCAUUAAUUUAAUUAUCUGUCCGACCGUUUUUAUUACAUUUAUCAUGUUCAUGAAAUAUCCAGGACUCUUCGAAGUUCAAUAGAUUUCUCAUAGAUGGAGAAGAGAAUAGUAAUGUCUCGUAGAAUACGAUUUAAAUAGUUGGGCACACUCAGGUAAAUUUCUGUAUGAGACAUGAAGGGUGACAUGAAGACAUGACAUGAUAAAAAAUGUCUGCAUCAUUCUUUUUCGAUUAGGAAGCGUCAUCUUCCACUCUUGGAAUUAUUACCAUAACAUAACCUUUUUGUAACGUCAUGAUAUAUCGUAUGCUUCGAGCAAGGGGGAUCAUUCAUCGAUGACCAAUACUUGAUGAUUAGUGCAAGGUAGGAAAAGGUGACGUCAUCCUCAUAGAAAUAUCUUCAACGACAUUAUCUAUCUAGUCUUGAAUGAGAAUGGUAUCCGUCAAGGAAACAGGAUUUCAUUGCUUGAAUUGACGCAGGUUCAAAUCCUUUAUAUUCAAGCAACGUUAUAAUGGACCCCGUGUAUGUUUCAUGACUGUACAAACAGACCGGUAAAAGGAGAGAUGGACUGGCCUGGUUAAAAAUAGAUUGACCCUGCCACAGAUAAAACCCUGCAGAACACGAAACCCUUCAAGCCAGAAUCAUCAUCCAAAAUAAAUGAAGAACCACUUAAAUCAAACUACCAAGUUUGAUGAACAUAUUUACGUGGUAUAAAGGUGCGGUUACGAACUGGAGAAUUUGUCUUAGAAUAUUUUUGACAACUACUGUACAGUACAAGCAAAAAAUGUGCACUUAUGACUACUGCAGCAAUCUCAAUGCAAAAUUAUACCUCAGAAAUACAUUCUUUCGAUUUUGUACCAGAUGCACGGUACAAAAAACUUUAUUGCACUCUAGCGCAGAGUUACAUUUCUUCACAUAUAUUAUAUAUUGUAUAACUCAUGAUUAUAAACAGUUAGUUUAAAUACAUCGUGAUAGUACUAUCGUUACUAACGUAUCAGUCAAUGAUAUUGUUUCCAAGACUUAGGCUAUAGAAAAUUCCUAUUAUUUGCAUUAGUAUAUUGACUGUUUUUAAAACAAAAAUUACCACGUUGACUGCCAUGAGGGUCACCGGUGGCCGGCGACGCAGCAAAUAAUAAAAGUACAUAAUUAAAGUAAAUAUGGAUACUGAUACAUUUUUCAAUAAUACCAUUAUUACUAUAAUGGUUUGAAGAAAUUAAGGCAAUAUAGAACAUACAAAAAUAAUUUUAUAACUCACUUUAUUUGCUGCAAAUAAUAUUUCAACAUAAUAUGCAUCGCCUAAUGAAAAAUUCACGUUGGCGCCUUGGGCAAACCAUGGAAAAUGCGUUUGGCCGUCAACGUGUUAAUACGAAUCUAGUCAUGUUCCCCAUAUACGAAACUGAAUGAUAAUUUUGAAAAAAAUAUAUAUUAUAUGUAUCUACCAUGGAAAUUUGGAAUUUCCCAUCUUAGUAGUUUCCAUGCUUGUGUGGAAAUGUAAUUGGAAUGUUCAUAAAUACAUGAUACGCAGCGCCUGA